rnacentral:rRNA from 1 species
GACGAACGCUGGCGGCGUGCCUAAUACAUGCAAGUAGAACGCAGUUGCGAAAGGGUGAGAAACGUGUCGGGAACUGCCCCAAAGCGGGGGAUAAAUAAUGGAAACGAUAGCUAAUACCGCAUAAUGUGAGAUGGACCUGCGUUGUAUUAGCUAGUUGGUGAGGUAAAGGCUCACCAAGGCGACGAUACAUAGCCGACCUGAGAGGGUGAUCGGGCACACUUGGACUGGGACACAGCCCCAGAUCCCUCUGGAGGCAGCCGUAGGGAAUCUUCGGCAAAGGGCGGAAGUCUGGCCGCGCAACUCCGCGUGGGUGAAGAAGGUUUUCGGAUCGUCAAGCUCUGUUGAUAGAGGAGCGGUAACUAACCAGGAAGGGACGGCUAACUCCGUGCCAGCAGCCGCGGUAAUUC